UAGUUUGAUCCUGGCUCAGGACGAACGCUGGCGGCGUGCUUAACACAUGCAAGUCGAGGGAGAACCACUGAAGGGGUAACCCUUCGGUGGGGAGACCGGCGAACGGGUGAGUAACACGUGGGCAACCUACCUCAGACUUCGGAAUAACCUCGGGAAACCGGGGCUAAUGCCGAAUACGCUGAUCGAACCGCAUGAUUCGAUCAGGAAAGCUCCGGCGGUCUGGGAUGGGCCCGCGGCCUAUCAGCUUGUUGGUGGGGUAACGGCCUACCAAGGCGACGACGGGUAGUUGGCGUGAGAGCGCGAUCAACCACACUGGGACUGAGACACGGCCCAGACUCCUACGGGAGGCAGCAGUGGGGAAUAUUGGGCAAUGGGGGCAACCCUGACCCAGCGACGCCGCGUGCGGGAUGAAGGCCUUCGGGUUGUAAACCGCUUUCAGCGGGGACGAAGCGAAAGUGACGGUACCCGCAGAAGAAGCCCCGGCUAACUACGUGCCAGCAGCCGCGGUAAGACGUAGGGGGCGAGCGUUGUCCGGAUUUAUUGGGCGUAAAGCGCGCGCAGGCGGCCGUGCAAGUCGGAUGUGAAAACCCGAGGCUCAACCUCGGGCCUGCAUUCGAUACUGCUCGGCUAGAGGCAGGUAGGGGAGAUCGGAAUUCCCGGUGUAGCGGUGAAAUGCGCAUAUAUCGGGAGGAACACCGGUGGC
rnacentral:rRNA from 1 species